GACGAACGCUGGCGGCGUGCUUAACACAUGCAAGUCGAACGAUGAACCGGGCGCUUGCACUUGGGGAUCAGUGGCGAACGGGUGAGUAACACGUGAGUAACCUGCCCCAGACUCUGGAAUAACCCCGGGAAACCGGUGCUAAUACCGGAUAUGACACAGAAUCGCAUGGUUUCUGUGUGGAAAGUUUUUCGGUUUGGGAUGGACUCGCGGCCUAUCAGCUUGUUGGUGAGGUAAUGGCUCACCAAGGCGACGACGGGUAGCCGGCCUGAGAGGGCGACCGGCCACACUGGGACUGAGACACGGCCCAGACUCCUACGGGAGGCAGCAGUGGGGAAUAUUGCACAAUGGGCGCAAGCCUGAUGCAGCGACGCCGCGUGAGGGAUGAAGGCCUUCGGGUUGUAAACCUCUUUCAGCUCUGAAGAAGCGAAAGUGACGGUAGGAGCAGAAGAAGCACCGGCUAACUUCGUGCCAGCCGCCGCGGUAA
rnacentral:rRNA from 1 species